AAUAAAUAGAGAGGAAUAGAGCACAGAAAUGAACCCAGGCUUAUAUGGUCAAUUAAUCUAUGACAAACGAAGCAAGAAUGUACACUGGGGAAAAGAUGGUCUCUCCAAGAAUGGUGCUGGGAA